GACAGAGGAUGCAAGCGUUAUCCGGAAUGAUUGGGCGUAAAGCGUCUGUAGGUGGCUUUUUAAGUCCGCCGUCAAAUCCCAGGGCUCAACCCCGGCGACAGGCGGAUGGAACUACCAAGCUGGAGUACGGUAGGGGGCAGAGGGAAUUUCCGGUGGAGCGGUGAAAUGCGUAGAGAUCGGAAAGAACACCAACGGCGAAAGCACUCUGCUGGGCCGACACUGACACUGAGAGACGAAAGCUAGGGGAGCGAAUGGG
rnacentral:rRNA from 1 species